GAUGAACGCUGGCGGCGUGCCUAAUACAUGCAAGUCGAGCGAACGGACGAGAAGCUUGCUUCUCUGAUGUUAGCGGCGGACGGGUGAGUAACACGUGGAUAACCUACCUAUAAGACUGGGAUAACUUCGGGAAACCGGAGCUAAUACCGGAUAAUAUUUUGAACCGCAUGGUUCAAAAGUGAAAGACGGUCUUGCUGUCACUUAUAGAUGGAUCCGCGCUGCAUUAGCUAGUUGGUAAGGUAACGGCUUACCAAGGCAACGAUGCAUAGCCGACCUGAGAGGGUGAUCGGCCACACUGGAACUGAGACACGGUCCAGACUCCUACGGGAGGCAGCAGUAGGGAAUCUUCCGCAAUGGGCGAAAGCCUGACGGAGCAACGACGCGUGAGUGAUGAAGGUCUUCGGAUCGUAAAACUCUGUUAUUAGGGGAGAACAUAUGUGUAAGUAACUGUGCACAUCUUGACGGUACCUAAUCAGAAAGCCACGGCUAACUACGUG
rnacentral:rRNA from 1 species